GGGCAAUUGCCACUUGCCAUUGGCUCUUUACUCAUCAAUCAAUCAAUAUCUAAGCCUCCGUCUGCCUCGUCUCAUUUUUCUCUGUAGGGGAAAGCAAGAAAAAUACAGAAAACGAACAUGGCGGCUAUUCUUUCACCCUACCCAACUUCAACCAUAACCCAAGAACCAUGUUCCAGACUGGAUUUUAGAAAUGGGUUUUCAGCUAGCAGCACCUUUGCCUCUCUACAUUUUCUCCGUCCGCCCACUCGGAUGACCAAUGCUGUGCUUAAGGUCUCUGCUAGCAUUAGCGAAGGCAAUGGGAAUGCUGCACCUGUUACCCACUCAGUGCCUGCCUUUACUAGCUCCAAGGUGCAAUGGCACACAAUAUCAGUUUUCGUAGGUGACGAAAGUGGAAUAAUAAACCGGAUUGCAGGCGUUUUUGCUAGAAGGGGUUACAACAUCGAGUCCCUUGCAGUUGGUUUGAACAAGGAUAAGGCUCUCUUUACCAUAGUUGUCCGUGGAACUGACAACGUUUUGCGGCAAGUAGUAGAACAGCUUAACAAGCUUGUAAAUGUCAUAAAGGUGGAAGAUAUCUCUAAGGAACCACAAGUAGAACGUGAACUGAUGCUUAUAAAACUUAAUGUGGAUCCAAGUACUCGUCCUGAGAUCAUGUGGCUGGUGGACAUCUUCAGAGGAAAAGUUGUUGAUACAUCAGAGCAUACACUGACUAUUGAGGUCACUGGAGACCCUGGAAAGAUGGCUGCUGUUUUAAGGAACUUAAGCAAGUUCAGAAUCAAAGAACUUAGUAGAACUGGAAAGAUUGCUCUGAGACGAGAAAGGAUGGGUGAGACUGCUCCCUUUUGGAGAUUUUAUGCGGCUUCUUAUCCUGACCUUGAGAGUACACAGCCUGGUGAUGUUUUUUCCAGUAAUCGUGCAAAUAAUUUUGCGGGGAACUCAAAUGGAUCAACUAACGGCAGCACCAUUUCAUCCUCAAAGGGUGAUGUAUAUCCUGUGGAGCCUUAUGAUGAUUACUCAGUCAAUCAAGUUCUUGAUGCUCAUUGGGG
rnacentral:misc_RNA from 1 species